GUAAUGUCUCGAAUGCAUCAUCGUCGUGCGGGAUACCCAUUUGGGUCAUUGGUCGACUUUGCGCCAGAUCCAAUUGGCCACCCAAUAUUUUCACUGUCACCGUUGGCAAUCCACACACGAAACAUACUGGCAGAUUCUAGAUGUACGCUUGUUGUGCAGAUUCCUGGAUGGAGCGGUUUAUCGAAUGCACGCGCGACAAUCUUUGGUGAUGUUGUCCCACA
rnacentral:misc_RNA from 1 species